rnacentral:rRNA from 1 species
AUUGAACGCUGGCGGCAGGCCUAACACAUGCAAGUCGAGCGGAGCGGCGGACGGGUGAGUAAUGCCUAGGAAUCUGCCUGGGAGUGGGGGAUAACGUCCGGUAACGGGCGCUAAUACCGCUUCCUCUCAGAUGAGCCUAGGGCGGAUUAGCUAGUUGGUGGGGUAAAGGCCUACCAAGGCGACGAUCCGUAACUGGUCUGAGAGGAUGAUCAGUCACACUGGAACUGAGACACGGUCCAGACUCCUACGGGAGGCAGCAGUGGGGAAUAUUGGACAAUGGGCGAAAGCCUGAUCCAGCCAUGCCGCGUGUGUGAAGAAGGUCUUCGGAUUGUAAAGCACUUUAAGUUGGGAGGCGUUACCAACAGAAUAAGCACCGGCUAACUUCGUGCCAGCCGCCGCGGUAAUAC